CGAAACAGAGAAGGAAAGAAGGAAAGAAAGAAAAGAGAAAAUUGAGGUUUUGAGGUUCUAAGCUCAUUUGCUAAUGUCGUGCAAGAGUAAUUGUCCGAGAAAGGAAAGGAGAAGGUGAACAAUGAGUGACUCAAAAGAAAUUUCGGUUAGUAGGAAACCAGUGUCACUCCAGCAUCCAAAGUAAUCCCGACUUCAGAGAAACUUUAGUGAUGUACCUUUCUUUUGAUAACGUGGCAUGUACCUAAGUAAUGUUUAUACCUAAGUGAUGUAUAGGGAUUAGUCAAUUUGAAUGUUUGUAUCUAUGAUAUUGCUAAAGGAAGAUGUGUGAGUAUGUGAUAAUGUUUGGCUUUUAAAAA